CAGUUUUCUCAUGAAUGGUUUAGUGCCAUUGCCCUUGGUUGUGACAAUGAGUGAGUUAUUGUAGGGUCUGGUUAUUUAAAAGUGUGCAGUAGCUCUCCCUUCUCUCUCUUCCACCUGCUCUGCUCAUGUAAAACGUGUGCCUACUUCUCACUCUCCUUCUGCCAUGACUGAAAGUUUCCUGAGGCCUCCCCAGAAGCCUGUCAAGCUUCCUAUACGGACAGGGAGCUGUGAGCCAAUUAAACCUCUUUUCUUGAGCCAAUGAAACCUCUUUUCUUUAUAAAUUACCCAGUCUCGGGAUUUCUUUUCUUUUUUUUCUUUUUUCUUUUUUUUGAGAUGGAGUCUCGCUCUGUCGCCCAGGCUGGAGUGCAGUAGCCAGAUCUCAGCUCACUGCAAGCUCCGCCUCCCGGGUUUACGCCAUUCCGGGAUUUUUUUACAGCAACAUGAGAAGGGACUAAUACACUGCCCUUCUUGGUUUUAACCCUAUAUGCCAUGACUGAUCUUAAGAUUUUAGUUACCAAUUAGGUAGGAUUCAAAUAAAUCUCUACGUAUGGCUUCCCUUCCUCCGCUCUGGAUUUCAGCCUACCCUGCACGCAUUCGUUCAGCCAUCACUUGUUGAGGGCCACUGUGUGUCAGGCCUGUUUCUCAGUGAACCCGCACACAACCCUUUGGUCCAAGGCUGUCGGAGAGGCUCGCCCAAGGUUAUGAGCUUGUAAACAGAAGGACCUUAUCUUUAGAUUCAUUGUGUAGGGCUCCUCCCACUUUACUAGUAUUCACUUUUAUUAUCUCCUCUCUGUCCUUGACAAAUCUACAUGUUCUCUAAAUUGAUAUGGUGCAAUACUUCCUGCAUUUUAUCAAGGGAGGGGUGCAGUUUGCUUUGCUGUAACUUUUUUCUUUUUUUCCCUUGAGGCAUUUGACCUGCGGUGUGUCUGGCCGAGCACUGCCAUGGAUUAAGUCAGUCCUGGGACCAAGCAGGAAGCCGACAAGAAGCAUGUUGCUGAGUGAUCUUGGGUUUCCGUCCUCCAUGCCCGUGGAUCCACGCGUGGGCCCAGCCAGCAAGGAGAAGUCUAACAGGCAGGAGGAGGGGAGACACAAAGAGCCCCCGCAGGUUCCGUCAAGCUUUGUGGCUGACCUCUUCUGAGUUUUGACAACACUGCUUUGCCUGUGGAAGGAGGGAGAUAACUGACCCUGGGUCGGGUGAAGAGGUGGGUAAGAAGAUUUAUAGAGAUUUUGAGAACUAACGUGGCCUUCAGUUGAAAAC
rnacentral:lncRNA from 1 species